rnacentral:rRNA from 1 species
UAUCCAGACUCCUACGGGAGGCAGCAGUGAGGAAUAUUGGUCAAUGGCCGAGAGGCUGAACCAGCCAAGUCGCGUGAGGGAAGACGGCCCUACGGGUUGUAAACCUCUUUUGUCGGGGAGCAAAGAGAGUCACGUGUGACUCAUUGAGAGUACCCGAAGAAAAAGCAUCGGCUAACUCCGUGCCAGCAGCCGCGGUAAUACGGAGGAUGCGAGCGUUAUCCGGAUUUAUUGGGUUUAAAGGGUGCGCAGGCGGAGGUGCAAGUCAGCGGUCAAAUUGCGGGGCUCAACCCCGUACUGCCGUUGAAACUGGGGAUCUAGAGUGUGCGAGAGGUAUGCGGAAUGCGUGGUGUAGCGGUGAAAUGCAUAGAUAUCACGCAGAACCCCGAUUGCGAAGGCAGCAUACCGGUGCACAACUGACGCUGAAGCACGAAGGCGUGGGUAUCGAACAGGAUUAGAUACCCGUGUAC